rnacentral:rRNA from 1 species
CAGCAGCCGCGGUAAUACGAAGGGUGCAAGCGUUAAUCGGAAUUACUGGGCGUAAAGCGUGCGUAGGCGGUUUGUUAAGUCUGCUGUGAAAUCCCCGGGCUCAACCUGGGAAUGGCAGUGGAUACUGGCAAGCUAGAGUGUGUCAGAGGAUGGUGGAAUUCCCGGUGUAGCGGUGAAAUGCGUAGAGAUCGGGAGGAACAUCAGUGGCGAAGGCGGCCAUCUGGGACAACACUGACGCUGAGGCACGAAAGCGUGGGGAGCAAACAGGAUUAGAUACCCCGGUAGUCCCUGUCUCUUAUAA